rnacentral:lncRNA from 1 species
CCCCCCCCCCCCCCCCCCCCCCCCCCCCCCCCCCCCCCCCCCCCCCCCCCCCCCCCCCCCUGUCUGUCCAUCCCUGGGCUCAGCUCAUCCCUGGGCUCUGUCUGUCCAUCUCUGGGCUCUGUCUGUCCAUCCCUGGCUCUGUCUGUCUAUCCCUGGGGUCUGUCUGUCCAUCCCUGGGCUUUGUCUGUCCGUCCCUGGACUCAGCUCAUCUCUGGGGUCUUUCUGUCUAUCUCUGGGCUCUGCCUGUCCAUCCCUGGGGUCUGUCUGUCCAUCCCUGGACUCAGCUCAUCCCUGGGGUCUGUCUGUCCAUCCCUGGCUCUGUCUGUCCAUCUCUGUGCUUUGUCUGGCCAUCUCUGGGCUCAGCUCAUCCCUGGGGUCUGUCUGUCCAUCCCUGGGCACUGUCUGUCCAUCCCUGGGCUCAGCUCAUCCCUGGGCUCUGUCUGUCCAUCUCUGGGCUCUGUCUGUCCAUCCCUGGCUCUGUCGGUCCAUCCCUGGGCUCUGUCCCCUCGGCUCGGGCCCCUCAGGCCAGAGCAGGGCACGGGCAUCCUGCAGCUCCCAGCGCCUCAGAACGUGUGGAAAAAUCCGGGCAGGAGCACACAGCCUCAAUCAGCGCCAGGGGAGAUUGGGGCUGGACAUUGCGAGGAAUUUCUCCGCAGAAAGGGUGAUUUGACAUCGGGCUGCCCGGGGAGGGUGGUGGAGUCACCGCACCUGGAGGUGCUCAAGGAACGGCAGUCAGCGCUGUGGGCUGGGUUACCAGGUGGUGCGCGGCCACAGGCUGGACUCGAUGGUUUCAGAGAUACUUUGCAAUGCGACUCUGCGCAAAGGGGGUUCAUUAGGCCCAGCUGUUCGAGGCGGGGCCCGGCGGGAGGACCCGGCGCGGCGGGAGGACCCGGAGCAGCGAGAGGCGCGGGCAGAGCGGCCCCGCCGGAAGCGGAAGCGGCGCGCGGCUCUCCCGGCGGGACCGCGGCCGCGGGGCCGCCAUGGGGGACGACAUGGACGUGA